rnacentral:tRNA from 1 species
AGAAAUAUGUCUGAUAAAAGAAUUAUCUUGAUAGGAUAAAUAAUAGGGGUGAAAGCCCCCUUAUUUCUA